rnacentral:rRNA from 1 species
AUGACGAUUGGCGCCCAUGCCCCUGCUGACAUGGUCUGUGGCUUCGGCAUCACCGUGGUCGUUGAUGAGAUGCUCUAUGCAUUAUCUUACCACUUCCGCGAGAAACAACACUCCUUUGGGGUCAUGUCAUGGGGGUCCACCGCGCCGGAUGCGCUGCAACAACCAACCGAGGGCUGGUCCUGGAAGACUCUGCCGCCACCACCGCCAACGUUCCACCGCCGAGUCAACUCCUAUGCACUACACCCGGAUGGAUGCACCAUCUUUAUGUCCACAGCUAACUUCAUGACGGCACCUAGCAAAGGUUGCAUGGGCACCUACUCAUUCAACACCAAGGAUUCUGUGUGGAGAUGGCAUGGGGAGUGGGCCUUGCCAUUCAGCGGCCAAGCACACUUUGACAGGGAGCUCAACGCUUGGGUUGGCCUUCAUUGGGAUGGCUACAUCUCUGCUUGCCAAGUUGCCUCCCCCAGCUGCCACAGCACGACUCCAACGUUGCAGCUGGACUGCCAGACAACCAAGGAGAAGUUGUUCUGCAAGGACCGGAAGCCGCAGAUGGGAGCCUCUCUCACCUACAUGGGCACGAGCAAGUUCUGCCUCGUCGAGGGAGUGGAGGAGGAACAGGCUCUCGGAGGCCAUGAUGGCUGUGUGCUCCAUAUCACCAUAUUUGGGCUCAAGUUCAAUCACAAGGGAGAGCUGCGGAUCACAGAUCACCGCUCCACGCGCUCCUUCAUAGUGUCUAGUCAUAAAGAUCACUUUAUGCCUGUAGCAUUUUGGAUGUAG